UACGUAGGGCGCAAGCGUUAUCCGGAAUUAUUGGGCGUAAAGAGCUCGUAGGCGGUUUGUCGCGUCUGCUGUGAAAGACCGGGGCUCAACUCCGGUUCUGCAGCCGAUACGGGCAGGCUAGAGUUCGGUAGGGGAGACUGGAAUUCCUGGUGUAGCGGUGAAAUGCGCAGAUAUCAGGAGGAACACCGGUGGCGAAGGCGGGUCUCUGGGCAACAACUGACGCUGAGGAGCGAAAGCGUGGGGAGCGAACAGG
rnacentral:rRNA from 1 species